GCGUAGGGGUUCUGAGAGGAAGGUCCCCCACACUGGUACUGAGACACGGACCAGACUCCUACGGAAGGCAGCAG
rnacentral:rRNA from 1 species